rnacentral:misc_RNA from 1 species
GAUAAUCAGUAUGGCCUUCUGAGACACAAUAUAUGAUUGAGGUUGAUACACAAUUCCACCCGCAAGGUUAUGAAUCUGCCUACUUCAUAAAACUGCCAGGGCAAAUGCACUCAUCCAUGAUGCUUACCAGUGCACCAAAUUGCAACGACACUCAGGUCCUACCUGGGUCAAGAGUAUGGCCCAGAAGUAUAAAAUGCAAAUUAAGCAACAGCUAGCAUAGUUCUAUAAAAUGCAUCUACUUGUACCAUAGAAAGGGUAGCCAAAUGAUACUACUCGCUUGAAACCAAGUCAAAUAUUCGGCGUUUCAACAAGGGGCCAACGUGAACGUCAAAAUGUCAGCCUUCGGUCUAAGAUCAGACCAGGCAGAAGAUUGCUCGUACAGCCUAGACCGAGUAGAAGAUCCUUUGGUCCCUUAGACCAAGUAGAAGAAGAGUUAACGAAAGAUGAGCAAUGGCAUUUGUCCACCCAGCAGACGGAG